UAGUCCACGCCCUAAACGAUGUAUACUCGACGUUUGGAUGAAUUUCUGGGCGUCCAAGGGAAACCAUUAAGUAUACCACCUGGGGAGUACGUUCGCAAGAAUGAAACUCAAAGGAAUUGACGGGGGUCCACACAAGCGGUGGAGCAUGUGGUUUAAUUCGAUGAUACGCGAGGAACCUUACCUGGGCUCGAACGCUAUUUGCCUUACAGUGAAAGCUGUAUUCUCUUCGGAGCGGAUAGUGAGGUGCUGCAUGGUUGUCGUCAGCUCGUGCCGUGAGGUGUUGGGUUAAGUCCCGCAACGAGCGCAACCCUUAUUUUUAGUUGCCUUUUGGAACUCUAAAAAGACUGCCGGUUAUAAACCGGAGGAAGGCGGGGAUGACGUCAAGUCAGCAUGCCCCUUACACCCUGGGCUACACACGUGCUACAAUGGAUGAGACAAUUAGAUGCAAGCUCGCGAGGGUUAGCUAAUCUAUAAACUCAUUCUAAGUUCGGAUUGUAGGCUGCAACUCGCCUGCA
rnacentral:rRNA from 1 species